rnacentral:rRNA from 1 species
AACUAACAAGGAUUCCCCUAGUAACGGCGAGUGAAGCGGGAAGAGCUCAAAUUUAAAAUCUGGCGCAAGCCCGAGUUGUAUUCUAGAGAGGUGUUUUCUGUGCCGGACCGUGUACAAGUCCCUUGGAACAGGGCGUCAUAGAGGGUGAGAAUCCCGUCCAUGACACGGACUACCGGUGCUCUGUGAUGCGCCUUCAAAGAGUCGAGUUGUUUGGGAAUGCAGCUCAAAAUGGGUGGUAAAUUCCAUCUAAAGCUAAAUACAGGCGAGAGACCGAUAGCGAACAAGUACCGUGAGGGAAAGAUGAAAAGCACUUUGGAAAGAGAGUUAAACAGUACGUGAAAUUGUUGAAAGGGAAACGCUUGGAGUCAGUCGCGUCGUCUGAGACUCAGCCUUGCUUUUGCUUGGUGCAUUUCUCAGUUGAUGGGCCAGCAUCGAUUUUGGUCGCUGGAUAAAGGCCUUGGGAAGGUGGCACCUUCGGGUGUGUUAUAGCCCUUGGUUGUAUACAGUGGCUGGGAUCGAGGACCGCAGCAUGAACCGGGGUUUACUCACGCUACAUGCUUAGGAUGCUGGCGUAAUGGCUUUAAGCG